GACGAACGCUGGCGGCGUGCUUAACACAUGCAAGUCGAACGGAAAGGCCCCUUUGGGGGUACUCGAGUGGCGAACGGGUGAGUAACACGUAAGUGACCUUCCCUUGACUUCGGGAUAACUUCAGGUAACUGGGGCUAAUACCGGAUAGGGAUCCUUGCUUGAUGGUGGGGGUUGGAAAGCUUCGGCGGUUUUGGAUGGACUUGCGGCGUAUCAGCUUGUUGGUGCGGCAGUGGCUUACCAAGGCGUCGGAGCGUAGCCGGACUGAGUGGGCGACCGGCCACAUAGAGUCCGAGGUACGGCACAGGCUGCGACUGGAGGGCACUGUGGGGAAGAUUGCCCAAUGAGCGGCACGCGGGUGCAGCAAGGCCGCGGGCCGGAAGACGGUCUUCGGGUUGUAGAACGCUUUCAGCAGGAGCGAAGCUUGUGGUGACGGUACCUGCAGAAGAAGCACCGGCUAACUACGUG
rnacentral:rRNA from 1 species